UGCGAGGAGGAUGAGGGAGGCGCUUUGAGAGACACGGCGAUGCACUGACCCGUGAUUCACAGAGUCAUUUCAGCGUACGGUUGAAUGCGGCAAGGGGAAACCCUCCACCAGCAGUGGAUUAGCAGGAGGGCUGCACCCGCCAGACGCGGAGGAUGAACGGAAGAGCCGGCAAAGGUGCAGGAGCGCGCACUCGAAUUGUCGCGGUUGCUAACCGACAACGCCAGCGGUGCAAUUGCGGCGGGGCCCGUUUCAGAGCAAAGGGCCUCUACGGCGGAUGUUGAGUUGAGUCGACGCGGCCUUGGGAAUUCAACUCAUGACUUCACAACUGAAGGCUGUUCCGGCAAUUGCUGUUAGAGAGUACCUAUGAUGGCUGAUACGGCACACAAAGAGCGUUUUUGCAUCUUUUGAAGAUGUCUCGCCGCAUGCAGUGGGAGCAUGAAAGCAGCAAAGGAACGGCUGACACAAGUGGCAGUUCACAAACGGCGGCCCUCAGUGAAGGAGAUGGGCCCACAACACGCGAGCGAGAUAACAUCCUAAAUAGAAUCGAGGCAUUUUAUGUGGAUCCAAAAACACAUUAUU